GGGCAUCGAAGCCAGAUCGUGAGAACUGGUGGAGCGCUUAGAAGUGAGAGUGCCGGUAUGAGUAGCGCAAGACGGGUGAGAAUCCCGUCCACCGAAUAACUAAGGUUUCCUGGGGAAGGCUCGUCCUCCCAGGGUUAGUCGGGACCUAAGCUGAGGCCGAUAGGCGUAGGCGAUGGACAACAGGUUGAUAUUCCUGUACCAGUUGCUUUUGUUUGAGCGAUGGAGGGACGCAGGAGGCUAAGGAAUGCACACGAUCGGAAAUGUGUGUCCAAGCAGCAAGUCUGAGAACGAGUGAAAUGCUUUUUCUCUCAAGGACAAGCUGUGAUGGGGAGCGAAAUUUAGUAGCGAAGUUCCUGAUGUCACACUGCCAAGAAAAGUUUCUAGUGAGAAAGUAACUGCCCGUACCGCAAACCGACACAGGUAGUUGAGGAGAGAAUCCUAAGGUGUGCGAGAGAACUCUCGUUAAGGAACUCGGCAAAAUGACCCCGUAACUUCGGGAGAAGGGGUGCUGACCGCAAGGUCAGCCGCAGUGAAUAGGCCCAAGCGACUGUUUAUCAAAAACACAGGUCUCUGCAAAAUCGAAAGAUGACGUAUGGGGGCUGAUGCCUGCCCGGUGCUGGAAGGUUAAGAGGAGAGGUUAGCGCAAGCGAAGCUUUGAAUUGAAGCCCCAGUAAACGGCGGCCGUAACAAUAACGGUCCUAAGGUAGCGAAAUUCCUUGUCGGGUAAGUUCCGACCCGCACGAAAGGCGUAACGAUUUGGGCACUGUCUCAACGAGAGACUCGGUGAAAUUAUAGUACCAGUGAAGAUGCUGGUUGCCCGCGACAGGACGGAAAGACCCCAUGGAGCUUUACUGCAGUUUGAUAUUGCGUGUUUGUAUCACAUGUACAGGAUAGGUAGGAGCCGAAGAUACCGGGACGCCAGUCUCGGAGGAGGCAACGGUGGGAUACUACCCUUGUGAUAUGACCACUCUAACCCGCUGCUCUUAGCGAGCAGGGAGACAGUGUCAGACGGGCAGUUUGACUGGGGCGGUCGCCUCCAAAAAUGUAACGGAGGCGCCCAAAGGUUCCCUCAGAAUGGUUGGAAAUCAUUCGUAGAGUGUAAAGGCAGAAGGGAGCUUGACUGCGAGACCUACAAGUCGAGCAGGGACGAAAGUCGGGCUUAGUGAUCCGGUGGUUCCGCAUGGAAGGGCCAUCGCUCAACGGAUAAAAGCUACCCUGGGGAUAACAGGCUUAUCUCCCCCAAGAGUUCACAUCGACGGGGAGGUUUGGCACCUCGAUGUCGGCUCAUCGCAUCCUGGGGCUGUAGUCGGUCCCAAGGGUUGGGCUGUUCGCCCAUUAAAGCGGUACGCGAGCUGGGUUCAGAACGUCGUGAGACAGUUCGGUCCCUAUCCGUCGCGGGCGUUGGAAAUUUGAGAGGAGCUGUCCUUAGUACGAGAGGACCGGGAUGGACACACCGCUGGUGUACCAGUUGUUCUGCCAAGAGCAUCGCUGGGUAGCUAUGUGUGGACGGGAUAAACGCUGAAGGCAUCUAAGCGUGAAGCCCCCCUCAAGAUGAGAUUUCCCAUCACUUUAAGUGAGUAAGACCCCUGAGAGAUGAUCAGGUAGAUAGGUUGGGAGUGGAAGUACAGCGAUGUAUGGAGCGGCCCAAUACUAAUCGGUCGAGGACUUAACC
rnacentral:rRNA from 1 species